rnacentral:rRNA from 1 species
GACGAACGCUGGCGGCGUGCCUAAUACAUGCAAGUCGAGCGCAGGAAACUGACGGAACUCUUCGGAGGGCAGGCAGCGGAAUGAGCGGCGGACGGGUGAGUAACACGUAAGGAACCUGCCUCAAGGAUUGGGAUAACUCCGAGAAAUCGGAGCUAAUACCGGAUAGUUCAACGGACCGCAUGGUCCGCUGAUGAAAGGCGCUCCGGCGUCACCUUGAGAUGGCCUUGCGGUGCAUUAGCUAGUUGGUGGGGUAACGGCCCACCAAGGCGACGAUGCAUAGCCGACCUGAGAGGGUGAGCGGCCACACUGGGACUGGGACACGGACGGACGCCUACGGGAGGCAGCAGUAGGGAAUCUUCCACAAUGGACGAAAGUCUGAUGGAGCAACGCCGCGUGAACGAUGAAGGCCCUCGGGUCGUAAAGUUCUGUUGUAAGGGAAGAACAAGUGCCGCAGGCAAUGGCGGCACCUUGACGGUACCUUGCGUGAAAGCCACGGCUAACUACGUGCCAGCCGCCGCGGUAAAAC